CACGUAGUUAGCCGGUGCUUAUUCUUACGGUACCGUCAUGGCUCCAGGGUAUUAACCCGAAGCUUUUCGUUCCGUACAAAAGCAGUUUACAACCCGAAGGCCUUCAUCCUGCACGCGGCAUUGCUGGAUCAGGCUUUCGCCCAUUGUCCAAAAUUCCCCACUGCUGCCUCCGUAGGAGUCUGGACCGUGUCUCAGUUCCAGUGUGGCUGAUCGUCCUCUCAGACCAGCUACAGAUCGUCGGCUUGGUAAGCUUUUAUCCCACCAACUACCUAAUCUGCCAUCAGCCGCUCUAGUAGCACAAGGUCUUGCGAUCCCCUGCUUUCAUCCGAGAUCUCAUGCGGUAUUAGCUACUCUUCGAGUAGUUACUCCCCACUACUACGGCACGUUCCGAAUUGUACUUACUCCACCCGUUCGCCUACCGUCGUCACGC
rnacentral:rRNA from 1 species